rnacentral:rRNA from 1 species
CCUCAAAUCAGAUAGGAAUACCCGCUGAACUUAA